UGGAAGUGGUGAGCGCCCGAAGUCCGUGUCGGAACCCGCAAGGGGCCAAGCGGACCGGAAGGCGAGCAUCGAUGACUGGGGCG
rnacentral:rRNA from 1 species